UCCCUGAUAGCUCAGUAAAGAAUCUGCUUGAAAUGCAGGAGACCCUGGUUCGAUUCCUGGGUUGGGAA
rnacentral:tRNA from 1 species